GUCAUUCAAACUUUAAUUCAUUUGAAAUAGAGGGUAGGAUAAAAGAAAUGAACCUCAAAUGAAAUUCUUCUAAUUGUCAAUGGCAAAAUUAAGCAAAUGUACACUUCUUCGAUCUCAAAGAUUCACCGAGAAACAGCAACAAAAAUCGAACGGCGGAACCGGAACCUGAAAUUUCACCUCGAAUUCUCAAAACCUUCGACACUUCUUCGAAAUGAGUGGUGAGCUGGUUGGGAUAUGGAAGGGGCAUAACUUGUCUAGGCAGCUGUUGGCUGGUUCUGGGGUUAGUUUUCGCCGGUUUCUGGCGAUGCUCGCCAGCGAAGGAGGUGAGAUAGAAACGAGAGAAAGGGAGUUGGAAGGGUGAGGUUGUCUCUUUAUUUUCGUUCCCCCUGUUCUCUGUUAUGCUUCAGCUAUUUUGAAUGGAGGUGAGUCACUUCUGGGUUCGUCCAUUUUUGUUCAAAGAAGGUGAAGAAGCUUCAGCUGUAGCUGGUUGAAGUAGAAAAUGCAGCAGAGAGGCAUUAACCUAUUAUAUAGAAUUAUAGAUGUAGGU
rnacentral:lncRNA from 1 species